rnacentral:rRNA from 1 species
UGGGAAUUUGGACAAUGGGCGAAAGCCUGAUCCAGCAAUGCCGCGUGUGUGAAGAAGGCCUUCGGGUUGUAAAGCACUUUUGUCCGGAAAGAAAUCCUUGGCUCUAAUACAGUCGGGGGAUGACGGUACCGGAAGAAUAAGCACCGGCUAACUACGUGCCAGCAGCCGCGGUAAUACGUAGGGUGCAAGCGUUAAUCGGAAUUACUGGGCGUAAAGCGUGCGCAGGCGGUUUGCUAAGACCGAUGUGAAAUCCCCGGGCUCAACCUGGGAACUGCAUUUGGUGACUGGCAGGCUAGAGUAUGGCAGAGGGGGGUAGAAUUCCACGUGUAGUAGUGAAAUGCGUAGAGAUGUGGAGGAAUACCGAUGGCGAAGGCAGCCCCCUGGGCCAAUACUGACGCUCAUGCACGAAAAGCGUGGGGAGCAAAACAGGAUUAGAUACCCUGGUAGUCCACGCCCUAAAACGAUGUCAACUAGUUGUUGGGGAUUCAUUUCCUUAGUAACGUAGCUAACGCGUGAAGUUGACCGCCUGGGGAGUACGGUCGCAAGAUUAAAACUCAAAUGAAUUGACGGGGUCAUAGCUG